CAUCCUUUAUAAGCCUUGGCAUUAUCAAAGUCUGUCGAAUGUAAAAAUAAGAAAAAAAACAUAUCAUAUGAUAAAAUAAUAUGAUGAAUCCUCGAAGCCACUGGACAUUUUUAUCAGUCAAAACUGAUCACGAGUUCGAGAAGAAUAACAUUAGCAGAACCACCCUAAUAUAACUAGUGAACCAUGUAUUAAGUAUAAUAAUACACGCAACAAUGUCUAUUCUCGACAUUGUAUAGCGUGAAAAAUAUGCACGCUGCAAAUAGUCAUUUCUACACUUACCAUAACAUCAUCACUAUAGAAGCAUUGCGGAAUUAAUCGUUGAGCACUGUUGACCAAUUCCAUGGCUGCAAAGAAUUUUCACGAACAUCACACAUGGGAUCAACAUAAUGUUAGGCACAUCAAACAUAUUCUUACUUUCUUGGACCGAUGUUCUCACCUGAUAGUGCUGCUGCACAUGCUAUGAUCACUGGAAUUAUGGGCUCUAUUAAAGGCGAUGCCGAACUGCUCCCGUCCAUUACUGGAUCCUGAGAUGAGAAUUACAACGUGAGGAGUGAAAUAAGCUUUUCUAGGGCAGAUGUUAGGCACAUGGAUCACAUCAGUGGCAUAGCCUACGGCAAAUACUAUAGUUUAGCCACAAAAAGGAAUAUAUGUCUUGUUGCAACUUGUGCAUCGUAACACUCAUGGUCAAGACAUUGUUAGGAGUUAUAGAAUGUAUGAUCAUGGAUGUGUCUGAGUGAAAACUGAAGUUGAGGAGUAACAACAGGAAUUCAAUUGUCACCAUGGAGCCCGAGAUCAUUUAUCUUUCAAAACAACAAGCAAGAACCUUUGCUUUUCUAGUGACUCGUAACUCAUAAUAAGGUCACAAAGCCGCAGGAAGAUGUGAAAUACAGGUUCAAGAUUUUUCUGUUAACAAGGUUUAUUAAUGUACAACAUACAACUGAUGAUUUCUACCUCAGUUGGGUUUUCAGGAAUCAGGAUUAUUGUGUGCGCCGGUAUACAAUAACUCUCCAAACAAAAACUCUAUUUGACCAGAAAAGAACUCAACAAGAACAAAUCGUAUUUCAUUAGUGCAUCCUAAGUUUGUUGUCGGAGUCUACUAGCAAUAAUUCUUUGGCAUUCUAUUCUUACUCUCCCGGGGUAAUUUCUCUCCUUCCCACCUUAUAUAUAUUACAGUAGCACUAGUAGUACUACGGAUGUACUAGUAGUCUAGUACCCAUUGACAUCCUAGCAUACAGUAGAAUAAGGAGAAGAAAAAGAAAUCUAGGCUUGCUAUAUGUGCCACUUAGAUAGGUAUUUCAGGCUGUACAAUUUGCUGCCCCUUACUAUUAAGGUCAGAUUCUACUUGCCCAAAUGUUACAUUGGUUAAUUUGUUUUUUCUCUUCUUUUCACCAAACAUAUAUAAUGUAUGCUCAUGGAUCGAGUCUGCUAAUGGCUCCAUCCAUGUCUCGAACUAAUGGUCAGAACUCAGAAGGGUGUGUCUAGAACUGCUAAAUUAUACUAAUACAAUACAUUUAUUAUAGGAAUUGGUAAUUGUAAUCUUCACAAUUAAAAAGAGCUAACUGUCCAUCAACUUUUCACCGAAUGGAUGCGUAUUGUGACGAAUGGAACAACCGUAGAUAUUAAUAUUUUCAGCGCAAUGUCCUAAUUUCAAAUUGAGGAUUAUCUACCCGUCCUCAACCUACUAACUUGGUUCUCCAGAGUACUUAACAGUUAAACAGAAUGUCCAAAUUAGACUGUCAAACCACCAAGAACAGUAGCAAUACAUCAUCAAAUCGAAGUUGCAAAAGUGCAUCAUUCACACACGAGCUGAUUUGACAUGAACAAGUACAAGAAAAUAAAACUAUAGAUAUGCAUCAUACACUCUACUAGCUAAUAAAAUUGAGAUGAAGCACAAAAGUACUAGCUAAUACUACUCCCUCUGUUCCUAAAUAUAAGUCUUUUUAGAGAUUCCACUAUGAAUCACAUACGGAUGUAUAUAGAUGCAGUUUAAGUGUAGAUUCAUCCGUUUUGCUCCGUAUGUAGUCCACCUAGUAGAAUCGCUACAAAAACUUAUAUUUAGGAACGGAGUGAUACAAGUUAACAUCUACUCCAUCGCAGGUGAAUGAUUAACCACCAGAAAAAUUGAGAUGGAGUAUUAACUUGUGGAGUAUUUACUAGAAAAAUUAACCACCAUGGUGACACCUUGUAGCUUAGCACCACGUCACAGGGGCCGGUCCGGAAGGAGCCGAGGAGCUCACCAACGACUUGCAGCCGACGAGGUCGAGGAGGACGCGGGCUGAUGCUGUAGAGGCGGUGACGAACCAGCCUCUGCCGGAGCCUGAGAUGGGAGGCCGUGACGAGCACACUGUGGCGCGGAUCUUAGCAGUCCACAAGCUCCGAUCUGGUCGGCUUCAAACUAGGCCAUCGGCGGCACCGCGGGCACAAGCCAUCGGAGAGAUGGAACAUCACCUCCGGUGUGCGUACUCGCUGGUUGAGGGGUCCGGCCCGGCGCCGUCGCCGCCGUUGUGGAGGGGAAUUUUAGGUCGCUGCAACUGCGUACGUACGGGAUUGGGUUUGAACAAGGACAUGGGGAAGAAAUUAACCUUCAGCAAGGGAGCUUUUUGCAAGUUGUACGCCCAGAUCGCUACACCUGAAUCUGGGUCAUCGAUCAUCCAUCCAAUGGUACAGAUUCGUUUUUUCUAUUUUUUCACCUCAGGCUGUCAUUCUG
rnacentral:lncRNA from 1 species